CUUAUUUUCUAAACUGUUUAUCAGAUCACUUUAAGAGUUGUGCUAGAAAUAAUAAGGCCUUGAAUAUCUUAAAGAUCCCCUUCCAUCGACUUUUUUUAAAAUUUAUUAUUUGAUGUCUUUUUAUCAGGUUUGCAAGAUCAUUUGUGUUAAAAUGCCCAGAAUGUCCUUUUUCAAGCUAUUCUAGUUAUUCUUUUUCACCUGGCAGUUGAGACAGACAGAUUUUUCAUUAAUAUUGGACAAGUAAAUAUGCUUCGCUCUGAUUGUAUCGCUAAUCUUUUUAAUGUAAAUAUGGAAAAUAGCUUUGCUCUGAUUGGCCGUUGGUGAUAUCUUGGCAGCCAAGCAUUUAUAGCGACCUCGCGUUUGGAUCAUUCGAUGUCUUACUAUUAGUGUUGAGAAAGUUCAUUUUCUACACCAACUAGUUGAAAAUUCAGUUGAUCUUUCCAAAAAUGAACGAGUUUAGUUCAUAGUUCACAAUUAAAAAUUUUUAACUAACUUCACCAUUCCAAAAAUCAUCUACUUCAUAAUUAUUUUUUGUUUUUUCUCAAUAUUUUGCUGAUAGGCUGUUACCCUCAAAAUACUGGCAUUUCAUUUUCCUUUUGUUGACCCCCAUUCAAUCCACAUGAGUAGCUAGUUGCAGCUUUCACCAUACAAGCUCUAAAACAAUUCGUUGUUUGAAUGGUAUUUUUCUAAAUUGAGGAAUUAAAAUAAAGGCGGCACGGUGGAGGACUAGUUGGCACAUCCGCCUCACAGUUCUGAGGACCAGGGUUCAGGCCCCGCCUGCGUGGAGUUUGCAUGUUCUCCCCGUGCCUGUGUGGGUUUUCUCUGGGUACUCCGGUUUCCUCCCACAUCCCAAAAACAUGCAUGGUAGGUUAAUUGAAAACUCUAAAUUGCCCGUAGGUGUGAAUGUGAGUGCGAGUUUGUUAAUAUGUGCCCUGCGAUUGGCUGGUGACCAGUUCGGGGUGUACCCCGCCUCUCACCCGAAGAUAGCUGGGAUAGGCUCAAGCACACCCGCGACCCUAGUGAGGGUAAGCGGAACGGAAACUGAAUGAAUGAAUGAAUGAAUUAAACUUUAGUCCUUAAUGUCCAAACAAAAAACACGCAACACAGUAUGACAGGAACAAUGGUGAAAGGACAUUUAUUUUGCAUUCCUUGCAGCUCUGGGUGACGAUAUUAACAAAAUACUUUAUUUGAUCUGUUUUUCGCUUUAAUCCAAACAUCCAUCCAUCCAUUUUCUACCGCUUAUCCGGGGUCGGGUCGCGGGGGCAGUAGCUUUAGCAGGGACGCCCAGACUUCCCUCUCCCCAGCAACUUCAUCCAGCUCUUCCGGGGGAUCCCGAGGCGUUCCCAGGCCAGCCGAAGGACGUAGUCUCUCCAGCGUGUCCUGGGUCGUCCCCGGGGUCUCCUCCCGGUGGGACGUGCCCAGAACACCUCACACCCACAGCUCGUGAUCAUAGGUGAGGGUAGGAACGUAGACCGACCGGUAAAUCGAGAGCUUCGCCUAUCGCCUUAGCUCCUUCUUUACCACAACAGAUCGAUACAAAGUCCGCAUCACUGCAGAUGCUGCACCGAUCCGCCUGUCAAUCUCCCGUUCUAUUCUUCCCUCACUCGUGACCCCAAGAUACUUGAACUCCUCCACUUGGGGCAGGAUCUCAUCCCCGACCUGGAGAGGGCACGCCACCCUUUUCCGACUGAGGACCAUGGUCUCAGAUUUGGAGGUGCUGAUUCUCAUCCCAGCCGCUUCACACUCAGCUGCGAACUGCUCCAGUGAUAAUUGGAGGUCAUGGCUUGAUGAAGCCAACAGAACCACAUCAUCUGCAAAAACCAGAGAUGCAUUACUGAGGCCACCAAACCGGACCCCCUCUACGCCUCGGCUGCGGCUAGAAAUUCUGUCCAUAGAAGUUAUGAACAGAAUCGGUGACAAAGGGCAGCCUUGGCGUAGUCCAACCCUCACCAGGAAUGAGUCCGACUUACUGAGUCUUCGAAGUAUUCUAGUCGAGGUCAGCAGUGCCCCAUCUCCACUAUACACAGUGUUGAUGGUGCACUGCUUCCCCCUCCUGAGAUGCCGGAUGGUGGACCAGAAUUUCCUCGAAGCCGUCCGGAAGUCUUUCUCCAUGGCCUCACCGAACUCCUCCCAUGCCCGAGUUUUUGCUUCAGCGACCACCAAAGCUGCAUUCCGCUUGGCCAGCCGGUACCCAUCAGCUGCCUCAGGAGUCCCACAUGCCAAAAAGGCCCAAUUAGUACGCCUUCUUCAGCUUGACGGCAUCCCUCACCGUUGGUGUCCACCAACGGGUUCGGGGAUUGCGGCAACGACAGGCACCAACCACCUUACGGCCGCAGCUCCGGUCGGCCGCCUCAGCAAUAGAGGUGUGGAACAUGGUCCACUCGGACUCGAUGUCCCCCGCCUCCCCCGGAACAUGAGCAAAGCUCUGUCGGAGGUGGGAGUUGAAACUCCUUCUGACAGGGGAUUCCGCCAGACGUUCCCAGCAGACCCUCCCAAUAAGUUUGGGCCUGUCACGUCGGACCUGCAUCUUCCCCCACCAUCGGAGCCAACUCACCACCAGGUGGUGAUCAGUUGACAGCUCCGCCCCUCUCAUUACCAGAGUGUCCAAGACAUGCGACCUAGGGUGUCCUGGUGCCAAGUGCAUGUGUGGACACCCUUAUGCUUGAACAUGGUGUUCGUUAUGGACAAUCUGUGACGAGCACAGAAUGCCAAUAACAGAACACCGCUCGGGUUCUGAUGGGGGGAGGGGGGGGGGGGGGCGUUCCUCCCAAUCACGCCCUUCCAGGUCUCACUGUCAUUGCCCACGUGAGCAUUGAAGUCCCGCAGCAGAACGAUGGAGUCCCCAGCGGGAGCGCUCUCCAGCACCCCCUCCAAGGACUCCAAAAAGGGUGGGUACUCUGAACUGCUGUUUGGUGCAUAGGCACAAUCAACAGUCAGGACCUGUCCCCCUACCCGAAGGCGGAGGUAGGCUACCUUCUUGUCCACCGGGGUGAACCCCAACGUACAGGCGCCGAGCCAGGGAGCAAUAAGUAUACCCACACCUGCUCGGCGCCUCUCACCGUGGGCAACUCCAGAGUGGAAGAGAGUCCAACCCCUCUCGAGAGGACUGGUACCAGAGCCCAAGCUGUGCGUGGAGGGGAGUCCGACUAUAUCUAGUCGGAACUUCUCGACCUCACACACCAGCUCGGGCUCCUUCCCUGCCAGAGAGGUGACAUUCCACGUCCCUAGACCCAGCUUCUUUAGCUGUGGAUCGGAUCGCCAAGGUCCCCGCCUUCGGCCACCGCCCAGCUCGCACUGCAACCAACACCUAUGGCCCCUCCCACAGGUGGUGAGCCCAUGGGAAGGGGGACCCUUUCGGGCUGUGCCCGGCCGGGCCCCAUGGGUGCAGGCCCGGCCAUCAGGCGCUCGCCUUCGAGCCCCACCUCCGGGCCUGGCUCCAGAGGGGGGCCCUGGUGACCCGCGUCUGGGCAAGGGAAACCUGAAUCCAUUUAUUGUACUCGUCAUAGGGUUUUUUUGGAGCCGUGCUUUGUCUGGUCCCUCACCUAGGACCUGUUUGCCAUGGGUGACCCUGCCAGGGGCAUAAAGCCCCAGACAACUUAGCUCCUAGGAUCAUUGGGACACACAAACCUCUCCACCACGAUAAGGUGACGGCUCAAGGAGGGUUUUUUUCUCUUUCACAAAACAAAAAAAAUUCAAUAUUAUGACAGUGUGAUUGUAUAGUUUUAACUAAAGCAUUCUGAUGCAAAUAAUAAUUUUCUUAGUAAUCAAUUUUUACAAUUAUGUACUGUAUUACAAAAGAACCACCAAAGAACACAUUCUCUCCCAUUUACGCCGUGUUCCUGAAUGCACCUCGCAUUCUCACGCAGCUGUGAUGUGGCUGCUAUCAAUGCCAGCUGUGGCCACACUGAAUUAGUUGCCAAAUACGCCGUUUAUUCCCCGAGAUACGAAGGCUUGCAUGUAAUGUGUUCAGAUGGGUUUCGUCCUGGAAGUCCCUUACAAAACCUAGCACUCUUGAAUGAAAAUGAACUGAUGUUAGAAAACCUUUCAUAGGCUCCAGAAUGAGCAAGUUCUUAAUAAUGUGCAUCAGGUAGAAAUGAACUAAUGUAGCGUUUAUUGGGGGACAUCAAAUUGUGCGUAAUUUAGAAGAAAACGAUGAGUUGGAAGCGGCGCCUGCGUCACUUCCGGUUUAUCGUAAUUUUAAAUUACAGCGCUAUAAAUCAAGAUAUUUGAUAGAUAUGAGGGGCACCACGUCAUAUUUGUACAAAUUUAACUUGAGGCGAAAUGACGACAAACCUUUAUAAUCAGUCUGUUGUCGGAAGGUGACUACAUUCUAGGAACUUUGAGUUCUAGACUUUCUAGAGGUUUCGUUCCGAACCCAAACACACAUAUAAUCAAUACAAGUGGUGAAUUUUAUCAAAAAUGUAUUCAUCAAAAAGGGUUUCUACAGGAUAAAACACAGACAAACACAAAACAAACAAGGUAUCUACAAACAUUGGCAAAGGAAGGGAUUUGUGACGUGAGAUGAGCAGAAUGGGAGUGUAGUGAAUGCAUAUAGCUGAGUCCUGACUCCUGACUCCUGGUCUCGUUAAUAUAAACCCAAAUAUGCACUAAUCCUUACUUUUAGUAGACCGCAAUGUUGGACUUACGUGUCUGGAACACGUUUGAAGCCGGCGAGUCAGGCUCCUAAGUGUUCGGCCGGCCCGGUCCGCACCGUGAGCAGGUGGAUUCGAUGGAAGGGAGGGAGGAAAAACAGGAGGCCGACGAGUUCUCAGGCAGGACGUCUUUCAAGUGAUGUUUGGAGCAGGCGUUGCAUCCACCUCCGUUCCCUCAGACUGAGUUCGGGCCCCCAAGCAGGGUGGCUCGGAGCGCUUACAGGAAGCAGCAGCCAGGGAUCGUCCGAUGUGUCCUUGUCACCUCAGGUGUGGUGGGCAUCCUUCCUGGCGCGGUCGUCGGUGAGUUGGUCGGAGUGACCAAAAAGCCUUGUGCACCAAGACUCCAAAAACUUCUCAACUUCUCCCAGCUCCGGCCCCUUUUAUGGCCAGAGCGGGUCAAACAGAGGGGUUUACCCCCUCCCCCCCCCCCCCCCCUCCUUUUCUACCACCUUUGCGAAUACCGAGGGGCUGGACUGCCUUUUGGCGUUAUUUUUCCAUUCUAGGAUUAUUUUGUGGUUCAAAACCAGUGGAAUAAAAUAUUAAUUAUUUGGUUUAAGAUAACUAGACAAUUUUCCUCAUGCUCCAUUGGUCCACGCUCAUCCUCUUUCAUAUCUGUAAUGAAUGUUUUAAAUGUUAUGUGGUGUGGAGGACAUCACUAUUUUCAUGUGACAUUUGUGGCAUGGGCUGAGACAUUCCAUCUGGUUCAGUUGACAACAGAUUUGACGUUAGACAUUCAAGUUUGCAGCAAUACAGUCACUAGUGGCGUUCAUGUAAAGUUCUUAAAAUAUUGACUCCCAGCCCAGUCACAGACUGUCUUAUGAACCCGUGUCUGUAGUGUCGUUCCGUCGCCCGUGGGUGUCGCUGUUGCCUGAUCCAACUCCCAAGUGGCAGCUCUCAGCAGGGUGGAGGCGUCGCCAGUCCUUCGACUGGCGGGGAGUUGAUUAACUUAGCAUUCGGGGGCGAACCCAGCAUCUGUGGGUCUCCCCUAUGAAGUCUCAAGCAGACGUGAUUCACUUAGCGUCGGCAUGGCAAAGCAAAUGUCUGUGUCUUGUUGAAGAUAGUUUGUGUUAAUCCGUUUAAAGUCUGCGUGUGACUCUGGAGUUACAGUCUACCUCGGCGGGGAGCGGCGGUAGUGCGAGGCUGGGGUGCCGGGUGGCAUCUUUGGCGUGGCGUGUCCGCUACAUAUCCCCCCUUCGGCGGCUGGAUCCGGCUCGAUGGCGGAUGUAGGUGACGUCUCGUUGAAAGAUGGCAGAGGUUGGCAGGAACACACGCACAACAAGGCAGUUACCAAAGUACAACCUUAGUGCAUAUCACCCCCCUUAUGGCUACAACAGUUGUUCAUAGCAACUUCCAAAAUAAGGUCAGCCUAUAUGUGUAUAUGGGUCAGGAUUGAUGCGUGUGGAUGGAUGUGUGUAGGUGUGGCUAUUGGGAUAGCAGGGAGAGUAGAAAUACGAGGCAUUGGGCGUAGCUAAAACUAAGGGUGAGCAUUACCUAGGUGUAGAGUUCUCAGUAACAAUCACACAAAAAAACAAAACAAAAAAACAAGAAGAGAACUCAACACGUCUCUACGGGGGAGAAAGAAAGAAAGAAGAGGUCGCUAGCUCCAACUUGGCACGUAGGGGGCACAGCGGUCGGGAGUACAACCCGACAAAUCAAUCAAGGUCUGUCUGUAUGGGGAUAGGUUCAGGUUCAGUCGUUCUUUUCCUACGGAAAAUUUCGGGUCGCGCACCUGAGCACUGGUUCAGAAGACCCUACAAGUUCUGAGUCUUUCGGUAGAGCAGGUAGGCGAUGCCGAAGGUCAUGCAGUAACCGAGACUGACCAGGGCAAUUAAGAUGUUAUCUGCUGCGGACCAGGAUUGCAUGAGCGGGAGCUUGGGUGUUCUGUCCUCAGUGCUAAUAGCGCGUAAGGUGUUGUCAAUGUGGGUGAUGUCAAUCGCCUGAGUUCCUUCAAACUGAAUCUGUGUAAGCGUCUCAGGAUCAACUCCCAAUUUGUCCUGUCCGAAAAAGUUAUAAAUCUCGAUUUCGCUCUCAUAAUUUUCGGUUGGCAGGUGGUAAAGGGUGACGUCCUCAAUAUGCAAGAUGGCUAAUGGGGUUUGCCAGAGCUUUAGACAGGAUGCUUUCCAUUAAGCUCAGGGGAACCAAAUACGGAGGGAUUCUACCCAUUGCUAAGUGGUCUAUGGACGAAGAGAUUUCACAUAGCAUGUCAUUCAUCAAUGUGGUAACAAUCUGUGUGUGAGCGUAAUCCGUUUGGACCAACGACAGUAGUUUACUUAUGCUCUGUCUAGUUUGGUUCAGGAUGACACUGUGAGUGUUGAGGACAAGGAUAGUACCCUUGAGUGUCUCCCAAACGAUUGGAGGUUUGCCGUUUGUCUCUCCAUGUUGCGUCGGAUGUUAGGCAUUUCGGUUUGAAGUUCACCAAUUUGUUUCUUAACCAUGUUUAAGAUGAUGGCGUUAACCGUGGAGGUUAUGCUAAACAAUGUGCCGAGGGAGGCGGCAGCCAUGAGGAGGCCCCCUACAAAAUGCUUUGAACCUCUGGGGCUUCCGCUGGGAUCGGCCUGAGUGAUGGAAAUUUUUUCUCAUUGCUGGAGCAUGUGAGUGGUGUCGAAAGCGGCAUGGUGGAUUGCGUUGCGAGACCACUUAGCUCCUGUGUUGGUGGUUUUGGUGGACGUCCCGACGUGUUUCAAAUUCACUUCCCGUGGUUCGAGGCGGAUGAACACUUUUUGCGUGUGUGUUCGACAGUUGGUGAUAAGCAGCCCCGGUUGGUCUUUCAGGGCGAUCCUGGAGGUGGGCCCUGGCCAAAUUAUUUCAGGCUGUGCAGUAAUGGAGAGCAAGUACAGCGCGAGUCUCAGUAGCAGCAUAAUUUUCCCGUGGCAAUGACAGGAUAACGGGUAGGUGACUAUACUGGCAUGGGUCGGUCUGGUGCUGAGACUCACUGGUUCCAAACCUUGAGAUUGAACCUCCAAGGACCGCCGGUGUUAAGUCCAACCCCGGGUUGAGCUCUAGAUCACGUUUGGUGUUACAAGCCUAAGUUGCGUCGAUUUAGCAUCCCUGUGGAGCCGGAGCUACUGGUCCCUUGUCGUUGGGACCGACCUCCGGUCGGGGUUCCGGUGGGGAACUCGGUGGUUCCUCACUGGGGAGCCUGGGACGGUGGUAUCUGUUUAUUUGAUUGCGAUGAACCCACUUUAACAGCGUGCCUUUACGGCCUUGGGUCAUUUUAAUUUGGUACGCCACCGGAGAGAGUUUGUCCACGAUCUCGUAGGGUCCCGCCCAAUGGGGAUGGAAUUUACGAGAUAUGGGGCAAAGGGUUUUCUGGUUAGUGUUGCCUGGUUGUGCAAACAGGUAGUACCACACCUAGUCCCCUAUUUGGAGUUCGUCCUGUGAGGUUUUCUGGUCAUAAUACGCCUUCUGGCCUUCCGCACUUCUCCCCAGGUGUCGCUGGGCAAUGGCGAAUGUGGCCUUUAAAUGGCCGUGUAGGUCGGUCAUGUAUUGGUGAGUCGUAUAGGCGAUGGCUAUGUUGGCCUCACCAGGUUGGUAUAGCAAGUGCAGAGGCAGUGUCAUGCGCCUUCCGGUCAACAUUUCGAAAGGGGACACUCCUGUGGAUUUGUGUGGGGUGACCCUGAGGGCCAUCAAUCUCAACGGGAGUUGACCAUUGGUCCCACCCAGUCAAUCUGAAGGUCAGACCACGGGAAUGAAACUCCUCUUUGUUGGAGAGGUGCUCUAUGUUUGGGGUUCGUUGGGUGAAAUUGGCAGCAUAACAGGCAGCCUUUGAUGUAGGCUGCUACAUCUUUCUGCAUGUGCGGCCAGUAUACUGCUUGGCGCAGGGCUGUGGUUGUUGCUCUGACGCCGCGGUGUCCUGCACAAGGUGCGUCGUGGGCAUAGGUCAACAUCACCUCCCAUAAACAAGUAGGCCUUUGACUAGACGCAGCUUGUCCCGUAUUAGCCACAAGUCUGCAGGGUCUUGGUCGGCGGUUAUGUCGUCGGCAGAGACUGGGUUUGCAUCGGAGUCGGAGAGCCAAUUGGAGAGCUUGGCGAGUGCUGUGUCACCGGAGUGUUGGGUGGUCAAGUCAAAGUCAAGAGUCGCAGAGGCACCAGGCAUUGGGUUGACGGAGUCGUACGAAGCAUCAUCCUGCGGCCGAGCAGCGGAAGGUGCAGCGGAGACAACUUGGCGGCGCGUGAUAACCGACACUGACGGGUUGGGUGGGGUGGGGAGCCAAGACGCAACGGUCGGAAUGUGCAAGUCGCUCAGCCCGCAGUCGAGUGAGUCUUUAGCGAAUGACACGGCGUCUUUGGUGAACUUCCCGCCAACGCUGUCGUUUGUCCUCGGAACUUAGGGCGUCAGCAUCCGCUAGGAUCUGCUGCGUGUGGGUUUCAAAGUCGGGAUAAGGGAGCAGGCGACUAUCACACAGUGUUACCGGUGCAGACGAGUUGGUUCGCGAUGAGUUUGAGGGAGUGGGUGAAGUUGCGGGAGACGCGUUUUUGGGUGCAGCUGGGAUUGUACUGAGCGCAUGGAUGACCAAGUGUUGGUCUGUAGCCAGGUCCACUCUGAUGAUGUCAUCCCCCUCAGUAGGUCCCACUGGAAUGAGAGCAAUGUGUCGCAAAGGAACAGUGAGCUGUACUCCACCAGUGCUAGGCAAUGGGAAGAUGUCUAGUGGAAGGUGACCAAUCACAGGGACCGUGAGAUUGAAGUCGUGGAAGUCGGAGCAGAUCAAGAGGCCAAGCCUAGUGGAUCUGGGGAAGUGAAAGUCGUUCCGUGUGGUUGUGAAUCAGCAGCACGGUUGUUCGGGAAGCGUCGAGGACGGGGGUGGCAUGUUAAACUCUGUCAAAGGCUGAAAGAACGCAUCCGGACCGAUUACGGCUUGGUUAGUCGAAUAGGGAAGUUGAUAGUUGACGCUUUUACUAUAACUUUGUCUUCGCUCAAUACUUUGCAAGCGUUGGGGAUGGUUUGUCCCAACUUUAGGUUUAACGAUUGGUUUAACGCGGUUGUCGGUUGCCGCCGCCAUUAGUGUGUGACCACAAAACAUUGUUAAUAGUGUCAAUUUGAACGGCCAGUCGGACAAGUACAUCCGCGCCAACAUAAGCUUUAUGCGGCAAAUUGGGGACUACUAGGAAGCAGUGAGUUAACAAACGAUGUUUCCAUUGCAGGUUUUAGGGCGCAUACGGUGACUGCAGACGGUGGGACGGUGUUAACGGGAAAGCAAAAUGUUUUCAGCGUUAACUGAAGGUCAGGAUGCUUAAGUCGUAGGUUGUCAAACAGUGCCUGAGAGAUUGCCGAUUUGUCAGCCCACAAAGCCAGGAUGACAUCGUCUGUUGGGCAGUCAUGCAAAUUACUUCCACCAGCAACAUUGGGGCCGUAGCGCUCUUCGUGCGGUGUGGACAAGAUGGCAGAGAAACGUGUCAAGUUUAGCUUGAUAUUAGUUACUGAAAAUGCACAGAUAGUUAGUGCGCAGCGAAGCAGUUGAAGGUCGCGGCCACUGGCUUGUAGCAAUGUCAGAAGUUGAUAGAACACAGCAUGGGACAUAGCCGUGAUGUCUGCUGCGGGGUCAAUCAGAGGUUCUUGGACAAGAUCAUGCUCAAGCGUAACGGGUAAAUAGAACUUUCGGGAUGUACCUUUAGCGGUUAGUUCACCCAAAAGCUGUCGGAAUGGCAGAACGUUAUUUAGUAGUGUGAUGUCACGCGAGUCAGGGGCCUCGCCUGGGUCUAGUCGGAUGAUUAGGACGACACAAGAGGGGUUUAGGGAUUGGUCGUCACAAAGUGAUCUGCUAAGGUUAUGGCAAGGUGAGGUCGUCGAGGAGUUGGCCGGGGUCACGGCGGCCUUGGCAGGUCAUUAGGGGAACAACGCAGGUUACCUGGUUGACCUAUUGCGUCUUCUGUGGCCCUGGUCGACUCAGUCAGUCCUUGUCAUAAUGAUGGGUCCCGCUUUAUGUCUUUGGACAGGCUACGGAGCACCUCAAGUAAUUCUUCUGCCACGGCACUAAAUUUCCUUUGAGAGCUGUUGGUUCGGGAGCCCUUUUCCCGGUUGUCACUUGUCGCUUUAGGGCCUCGGUUGGACGAGUCAGAUUUAUCCUGGUCGUUACGUGUACCCUGUUUUGACUUGUAAGUUUGGCGCGAAUUAGAACUGCGGUCAUUCCAUGAUUUUGAUUUAUCGUUGGCGUUGUUGGUUACGAGGACCAUUGUUGUACGUGGGCCGAGAUUGGUUGUAUGGGUUCAACGACUUCUUUUGAUUGUCGGGUUUAACAUCGCCAGAACGUGGUGUGUUGAUCACACGCGUGUUGUACGUAGCGCCCUCUAAUUCCAUCUGUGGUGAUGCGUUUGUAAAGAAGACGCCUGAGUCUUGUGCUUUAGAGGGAGGGUGUUUUUGUUUAGCAAAACCCUUGGCGGCCAGUUCACGCAGCUGGGCACUGGACAGUGUGAGCGGGCACGCUCCUACGCUCAGGUGGUGACUGGUGUUAGGAUGUAGGUUUUUGACAAACAGUGUUUUGAAACGUUUGUCCUCCUCCAUAUUCGGUUCAUUUAAAUUUCCAAAGUAUGGUUCACGCAACCCGCAGUAAUAAGCUUGGGGUGUCUAAAGUCUACCCUGUUUAACUGUGUGGUAAGCCGGUUGUGACCUUUGGGUCAUCAAAUUCUCAAGACAAUGCUUGGGAGAGGGCCGGGUAAUCAGCCAGCACAUGAGCCGGUUGUUCUUCAGUUAAGCUGCUGACUUCUCGGCUCGAUGUAAGUUUCAUAAGGUACAGUCUGUCGUCCGUAGUAGCAGAAGGGAAUCGUUUAAGGUGAUAUUUGAGGUCUCCAAGGCACGCGGCUGUGUCAUGUGACCCGUUUGAGGUUCAAACCUCGGAAUGUUGCGCGCCACUUUGUCUAAGUCUCUGAGAGUCAUAUCUGGAGCAGCGCUGGGUGGAGGAAGAGUCGGGGGUGAGUCGAAAAGGUGAGCUGCGACAGGUGGGGCUGCCACCCAUGAGGUGGCCGCACAGCGCCCCCUUAAGGUGGGUUCCGGCCCAAAGGUUGGAGAUGUUUUGUAGGGCUCUGUGACACUUCUGGUGAGGGAGGGCCCCACGCUGUCUGUAGCAGGAGCCGGAACACUGGGAUGAGUCAGAGAGUAAGUGGGCAGCUGUUGAUAUAAUUGUAGCUCACGCCUGACAUGGGUUAACUCAUCCUCUUGGUCCCGGAGUUGUUGCUGGAGGUGGGACAGCUCCGUCUCCCUGAUUACCAUCUGUGUUUUGAGCCCGUACGACUGUUCGCUUUGGAGCGUUCCACUUUGAGUGUCUCGGUGCGUUCGGUGAGCCGCUGAAUGUCACCGGAAGCUUGCCACACCAGAAUAGUUGCUCGCUGAUGUUCGGCCCGUAAUUCAAGUACUUGGUCAUUAGACAGUCGGUCGGCUAAUUCUACCAAUUAAGCUUUUAAGUGGGCAAUCUCGGCAUAAGCGUCUUGUAGUUGGUUAUACUGACCUCCGGAAGUUAAUUCGCUCGAGGUCGGGGCUUGGGUUGUUUUAUCAUCCUCAUUGUUUAAUCUGCCGCCGGAAAACGGUUAGCUAAGAAGAAGUGGGACACUGAGAGGACCGAGGAGAGGCGAAAGGAAUACAUUGAGAUGCGACACAGGGCAAAGGUAGAGGUGGCAAAGGCAAAACAAGAGGCAUAUGAUGACAUGUAUGGCAGGUUGGACACUAAAGAAGGAGAAAAGGAUCUAUACAGGCUGGCCAGACAGAGGGAUAGAGAUGGGAAGGAUGUGCAGCAGGUUAGGGUGAUUAAGGAUAGAGAUGGAAAUAUGUUGACUGGUGCCAGCAGUGUGCUAGGUAGAUGGAAAGAAUACUUUGAGGAGUUGAUGAAUGAGGAAAAUGAUAGAGAAGGGAGAGUAGAAGAGGCAAGUGUGGUGGACCAGGAAGUGGCAAUGAUUAGUAAGGGGGAAGUUAGAAAGGCAUUAAAGAGAAUGAAAAAUGGAAAGGCAGUUGGUCCUGAUGACAUUCCUGUGGAGGUAUGGAAGCAUCUAGGAGAGGUGGCUGUGGAGUUUUUGACCAGCUUGUUCAAUAGAAUUCUAGUGCGUGAGAAGAUGCCUGAGGAAUGGAGGAAAAGUGUACUGGUGCCCAUUUUUAAGAACAAAGGUGAUGUGCAGAGCUGUGGCAACUAUAGAGGAAUAAAGUUGAUGAGCCACACAAUGAAGUUAUGGGAAAGAGUAGUGGAGGCUAGACUCAGGAGAGAAGUGAGUAUUUGCGAGCAACAGUAUGGUUUCAUGCCUAGAAAGAGUACCACAGAUGCAUUAUUUGCCUUGAGGAUGUUGAUGGAAAAGUACAGAGAAGGUCAGAAGGAGCUACAUUGUGUCUUUGUAGAUCUAGAGAAAGCCUAUGACAGAGUACCCAGAGAGGAACUGUGGUACUGCAUGCGGAAGUCUGGAGUGGCAGAGAAGUAUGUUAGAAUAAUACAGGACAUGUACGAGGGCAGCAGAACAGCGGUGAGGUGUGCUGUCGGUGUGACAGAAGAAUUUAAGGUGGACGUGGGACUGCAUCAGGGAUCAGCCCUGAGCCCCUUCCUUUUUGCAGUGGUGAUGGAUAGGCUGACAGAUGAGGUUAGACUGGAAUCCCCGUGGACCAUGAUGUUUGCAGAUGACAUUGUGAUUUGCAGUGAAAGCAGGGAGCAGCUGGAGGAACAGUUAGAAAGAUGGAGGCAUGCACUGGAAAGCAGAGGAAUGAAGAUUAGCCGAAGUAAAACAGAAUAUAUGUGCAUGAAUGAGAGGGGUGGUGGGGGAAGAAUGAGGCUACAGGGAGAAGAGAUGGCAAGGGUAGAGGACUUUAAAUACUUGGGGUCAACCGUCCAGAGCAAUGGUGAGUGUGGUCAGGAAGUGAAGAAACGGGUCCAAGCAGGUUGGAACGGGUGGAGGAAGGUGUCAGGUGUGUUAUGUGACAGAAGAGUCUCUGCUAGGAUGAAGGGCAAAGUUUAUAAAACAGUGGUGAGGCCAGCCAUGAUGUAUGGAUUAGAGACAGUGGCACUGAAGAGAAAACAGGAAGCAGAGCUGGAGGUGGCGGAAAUGAAGAUGUUGAGGUUCGCUCUCGGAGUGACCAGGUUGGAUAAAAUUAGAAAUGAGCUCAUCAGAGGGACAGCCAAGGUUCGAUGUUUUGGAGACAAAGUUAGAGAGAGCAGACUUCAAUGGUUUGGACACGUCCAGAGGAGAGAGAGUGAGUAUAUUGGUAGAAGGAUGAUGAGGAUGGAGCUGCCAGGCAAGAGAGCUAGAGGAAGACCAAAGAGAAGGUUGAUGGAUGUCGUGAGGGAAGACAUGAUGGCAGUUGGUGUUCGAGAGGAGGAUGCAGGAGAUAGGCUCUCAUGGAAAAGGAUGACGCGCUGUGGCGACCCCUAACGGGACAAGCCGAAAGGAAAAGAAGAAGAAGAUUGUUUAAUCUGCCGCUGUCUUUAGGCAGCAACUGUGCAGCAGCAACUAUGCAGCCUCAGCUGCAGCAGUGAGGCUGGAGCCUAUCCAAGCUAUCAUCGGGCAGGAGGCAGGGUACAGCCUGAACUGGUUGCCAGCCAAUUGCAGAAAUAAUAAUCAAAAUAAAAAAAAAAAUAAAAAAAAUAUUCCAAAAGAAAAGUUUCAAAAAAAUUUUUUUUCAGAAAAAUUGAAAUCAAAUCAAGUUUUUCUUUUACUUUUUUCACCCAAAAAAUAAACCAGAGUGAUUACAACAGCCAAGCAAGUGCCGACGCUUUCCGGCGGUGAAACUCUUUAGAGUCUCACGUUGUAAAUCCCAAAACUGGUUAAAAAUACCAGGCAUAAAGCUUUAAAGAACGAUCACGGCGUCUGCGUUUCGAAAACGAGCGAAAACGGAGGCUUUAAAUUUAAAACGCUCUUUAAAACUAUCAUGAAUUAAGCCAAGCUCUCGGGGUUAUUCGGUUCCCUGGGCAACUGGUGACGCCAGGCUGCGCGGUGCGCGCAGCGCACACCGGAAGCUUAUCAGCAUACAAAAAGCACAUGGCGGUGCUUAUUAUGAAAGCCCACGUUUAUUGUUUCGAAAGCAACGACCCAAGAUGAACACAAUGCCUUAGCACACGAUCGGUAAUGGCUAACUAGCGGCUUGAGCUGGAGCUAGUCAACGCAAUUUUCCAGUCACACACCCGGAAGUUGCGUGAUGGAAUGAACGUCCACGAGGGGCACUCGAGGACAACAACUCGAGGAGCUUAUGCUACGGAUCACGCCACGAAGGAAGAAACCAGGGUGGCAACGUCUCGAUGACGUCACGUCUCUCCAAGACGGAAGACGAAUUACGAAGCCUUGAGUCUUUAAAUGACCAAAUGGCAUUCAGUGAGAGGCUUGUGAUUUUAUCACAAAGCAAAAAUGGCGACCGUCGUGGGUGCCACGUGUGUUUUUUUUUUCUUUUUUACACACAAAGAGCUAGCACUCUAGCUCAGAGUUCGACUGACGUGUAACGGGAUUCUCGGUAUAGAACACGUUCUCGUGACCAGGGACUUCCCAAACCUCCUAUUUACACAGCGAAACUCAGAAUAAAAUUCCCAACACCACAACGGGCAUAUAGCUAGUUUGGUUAGCAACUCCAGACCAUAGCGGGAAGAAGACGAGGACCGUGCGAACGCUCAGGAUUCGUGACCUGUUCGCGAUCCUCGAAGGCCUUUUCAAAAUAACUCUACAUAGGAAAUCUCCCCACAGUUCAAAGCAUGCAGCGCAUAAAACGGAUAUCCAAAUAAAAGUUACAGUGCAACGCUAGUUUCACUAGGGGUAAUCUUUGUUUCUCUUAUUAAUAAGUGCUCGGUCUUUGGUCGCUAUGGUAAAGGAAUGUGACAACAUAGCCACAGUCUAGAUAGCAGGGGACGUGCCUCGACAUGACCCUGCCAAGAUGGCACUGCCGUUUUGGUUUAUUGCAAUAUAUCGGGGGUUUUGUGUUUGGAUUAGGAAUAAAACUUACUACACGGGCACCAUUCUGUAGCGUUUAUUGGGGGACAUCAAAUUGUGCGUAAUUUAGAAGAAAACGAGUUGGAAGCGGCGCCUGCGUCACUUCCGGGUUAUGGUAUUUUUAAAUUACAGCGUAAAAUAAAUCAAGAUAUUUGAUAGAUAUGAGGGGCACCACGUCAUAUUUUUAUAAGUUUAACUUGAGGUGAAAUGACGACAAACCUUUAUAAUCAGUCUCUUGUCGGAAGGUGGGUACAUUCUAGGAACUUUGAGUUCUAGACUUUCUAGAGGUUUCGUUCCAAAGCCAAACACACAUAUAAUCAAUGCAAGUGGCGAAUUUUAUAGAAAAUUUAAUAAUCAAAAAUGGUUUCUACAGGAUAAAACACAGACAAACACAAAACAAGCAAGGCAUCUACGAACAUUGACAAAGGAAGGGAUUUGUGACAUGAGCAGAAUGGGCGUGUAGUGAAUGCAUAUAGCUGAGUACUCCUGGUCUCGUUAAUAUAACCCCAAAUAUGCACUAAUCCGUACUUUUAGUAGACCGCAAUGUUAGACUUACGUGUCUGGAACACGUUUGAAGCUGGCGAGUCAGGCUCCCGAGUGUUCGGCUGGCCUGGUCUGCACCGUGAGCAGGAGGAAGGAAGGGAGCGAGGAAAACAAGAUGGCUGCCGGGGUGCAGCCACACAGUUUGGCAGGUCCCGUGCGUUUGCUUAAAAAGUCAUCCAAAGAUCAAAUAGGACCAUGGAUUAUGCUAUCAACGUAUUCCUUUACUGUUUGGAUAACCCUCUAUCUUCUGCUAAAUUCAACAUGUCCAAGAAAAAGGGACACCCUAACCUUGUAUCCAGCCAGAUGGAGUCAGCACAUGCUAUUCACAAGGGUACUGGACUAUGGCCAUGCCAGGCCACCCCCAGGUGAGCAGGAACAGGCUGUCUCAGGCAAACCACUCCUGGGUGUUUUUAAUCUCUUGAUGAUACUUCUUUUGCCUGGUGAUGUUGAACUAAACCCUGGGCCAGUACUAGCUGGGCCUCCACCUCUGCUACCUGGGCCAACAUCACUGCCAUCUGGGCCUUUACCUCGAGCAGCCGGGCUAACACCAAUGCUAGAUCAGCUAACAUCAUUGCUAGCUAGGCCUCCACCUCUACCGGCUGGGCCUCCACCUCUGCUAGCUGGGCCUCUACCACUGCCACCUGGGCCAACACCACUGCUAGUUGGGCCUCCACCACUGCUAGCUGGGCCUCCACCACUGCUGGCCGGGCCUCCACCAUUGCCGGCCGGGCCUCCACCACUGCCGGCUGGGCCUCCACCACUGCCGGCUGAGCCUCCACCCCUGCCGGCUGGGCCUCCGCCUCUGCCGGUUGGGCCUCCACCUCUGCCGACUGGGCCUCCACCACUGCUGGCUGGGCCUCCACCACUGCCGACUGGGCCUCCACCACUGCCGGCUGGGCUGGAAAUGUUACUGAAACAACUCAAUCUUGCAAAAGAGGUAUCACCACAGUGCUUACCAUGACAACUCUUAGCACCAUCUCCAGAAAGUCCUUGCCCAAGGUGUCAUAUGUUACAGCAAUGGACUUGUUUGUCUCUGUCUGCUUCAUCUUCACCUUUGCUGCUCUCAUGGAGU